rnacentral:rRNA from 1 species
CGGGGGAGCAAGCGUUGUUCGGAGUUACUGGGCGUAAAGGGCGCGUAGGCGGCCAGCGCAAGUCAGUUGUGAAAUCUCCGGGCUUAACUCGGAAAGGUCAACUGAUACUGCGCGGCUAGAGUGCAGAAGGGGCAACUGGAAUUCUCGGUGUAGCGGUGAAAUGCGUAGAUAUCGAGAGGAACACCUGCGGCGAAGGCGGGUUGCUGGGCUGACACUGACGCUGAUGCGCGAAAGCCAGGGGAGCGAACGGGAUUAGAUACCCCGGUAGUCCUGGCCUUAAACGAUGGAUGCUUGGUGUCUGGAGUUUUAUAGUCUCCGGGUGCCGUAGCUAACGCGUUAAGCAUCCCGCCUGGGGAGUACGGUCGCAAGACUG